GAAAUCACAAUAAAAACAGUUUCCACAAAUCUGAGCAUGCAUACAGACAGACAUCUCUAUUUAGAUGAUUAAAGUAGACCCUGGGGUCAGUAAAAAGUUCCAACAUUAAUCAGAUAAUAAAAUCAGUUGCAGAUCACAGGUUCUACAACUAGUUCAAAUGAAAGAAGGAACAAAAGGGAUUAAAAAGAAUGUCAAUUUCAUGGAAUAACUAAUUACAAAAAGAUGAACUAAUGGUAUUAUAAAUAUUCUUCUUUUCAUUCUCAUUUGCUUCUUCCUUUUCCAUUCGUUUUCCAACCUGUUAUUUUGGAUUAUUGUGAGUGAAUACUCCCAAUUUUCCAAACAAACAUGCUCCAUUUCUUAAUUUCUUAAGUAUGAAAUAAGAAAAAGUCCUAUAUGAUAAUAAAGGCAUUAGACAUAUUCAUAAGCUGAGCAUAUUACUAACAUAAUAUAUACAGCAGCCUCCCAUAUAAUAACGGUAAUUUGGUGCAUUUUCCCCUAUUAUUCGACAUCAAAAGACAAGUAGAAUAUAAUAGUUUCAAACACAAGGAGAGGGAAAAAGCCAACUUACAAGCCGGGAAAAAACAUGUAACAUACUAGAAAAUAGAUUCAAGCUUUGAGAAGAAUGAACAAACAAAGUAAAUAAAUCCUUACUAAUCAUGCUAAACAUGAAACAUCGCAAUACAAUUCAUUUUAAAAAAUCUGAGAUUAAUUACUAAUUAACUGGAAUACCAACAAACGACGAAACUAUCCAUAUAAUAAUGAAAAUAAAUUGGAAGCCAUACCAAUUUCAUAAACCCUAAUUUCAAAAAUAUGGAAGAGACAAGGGGGAAAGUGACGUGUAACCGAAAGGAAAAAGUUUUAAUCAACAAAAAUAAUGUUAAACGAUUAAGGGAAAAAAAGAAUAGAAUGUUUUACCUUUUGAAGCGGGGUGGAGAGAAACAGGCGAAGAAUUUCCAGCCAAAAAUUAGGCUCAAACUAAACGUUAACUGAUUUUAAUAAUUUGGAGGGAUUGGGGAAGAAAUAAAGGGAUGUGGGAAAUUGGAGAUUUCGAUUAGAAAGGGAUUUGGGAAGUUGGGAAAUUGAGGAAAAGAAAUUGGGGAAGAAUAGUUUAGGGAUUUUGAUCAGAAGUUGGGAAAUUGGGGAAAAGAAAUUGGGGAAAUCUAAUUUGGGGGAAAACCUAAAGGAAUUUCGGGUCUAAU
rnacentral:lncRNA from 1 species